UACGAAGGGGGCUAGCGUUGCUCGGAAUCACUGGGCGUAAAGGGUGCGUAGGCGGGUCUUUAAGUCAGGGGUGAAAUCCUGGAGCUCAACUCCAGAACUGCCUUUGAUACUGAAGAUCUUGAGUUCGGGAGAGGUGAGUGGAACUGCGAGUGUAGAGGUGAAAAUUCGUAGAUAUUCGCAAGAACACCAGUGGCGAAGGCGGACUCACUGGCCCGAUACUGACGCUGAGGCACGAAAGCGUGGGGAAGCA
rnacentral:rRNA from 1 species